UACGGAGGGUGCAAGCGUUAUCCGGAUUUACUGGGUUUAAAGGGUGCGUAGGUGGGCAGGUAAGUCAGUGGCGAAAUCUCCGGGCUUAACCCGGAAACUGCCAUUGAUACUAUCUGUCUUGAAUUUCCUGGAGGUAAGCGGAAUAUGUCAUGUAGCGGUGAAAUGCUUAGAUAUGACAUAGAACACCAAUUGCGAAGGCAGCUUACUACGGGAAUAUUGACACUGAGGCACGAAAGCGUGGGGAUCAAACAGG
rnacentral:rRNA from 1 species